GCAGCUGGAGAAGGCGGCCUGGCGCUGGGCGGAGACGGUGCGGCCCGAGGAGGUGUCGCAGGAGCACAUCGAGACCGCUUACCGCAUCUGGCUGGAGCCCUGCAUUCGCGGCGUGUGCAGAUGGAGUCUGGCUCUGUUGUCCAGGCUGAGUGUAGUGGCGCAAUCUUGGCUCACUGCAACCUCCGCCUCCCAUGUUCAAG
rnacentral:lncRNA from 1 species